rnacentral:rRNA from 1 species
GAUGAACGCUGGCGGCGUGCCUAAUACAUGCAAGUCGAGCGAACGGACGAGAAGCUUGCUUUUCUGAUGUUAGCGGCGGACGGGUGAGUAACACGUGGAUAACCUACCUAUAAGACUGGGAUAACUUCGGGAAACCGGAGCUAAUACCGGAUAAUAUUUUGAACCGCAUGGUUCAUAAGUGAAAGACGGUCUUGCUGUCACUUAUAGAUGGAUCCGCGCUGCAUUAGCUAGUUGGUAAGGUAACGGCUUACCAAGGCAACGAUGCAUAGCCGACCUGAGAGGGUGAUCGGCCACACGGGAACUGAGACACGGUCCAGACUCCUACGGGAGGCAGCAGUAGGGAAUCUUCCGCAAUGGGCGAAAGCCUGACGGAGCAACGCCGCGUGAGUGAUGAAGGUCUUCGGAUCGUAAAACUCUGUUAUUAGGGAAGAACAUAUGUGUAAGUAACUGUGCACAUCUUGACGGUACCUAAUCAGAAAGCCACGGCUAACUACGUG